rnacentral:rRNA from 1 species
GGGGAAUAUUGGACAAUGGGCGCAAGCCUGAUCCAGCCAUGCCGCGUGAGGGAUGACGGCCUUCGGGUUGUAAACCUCUUUUAGUAGGGAAGAAGCGAAAGUGACGGUACCUGCAGAAAAAGCACCGGCUAACUACGUGCCAGCAGCCGCGGUAAUACGAAGGGUGCAAGCGUUACUCGGAAUUACUGGGCGUAAAGCGUGCGUAGGUGGUGGUUUAAGUCCGUUGUGAAAGCCCUGGGCUCAACCUGGGAACUGCAGUGGAUACUGGAUCACUAGAGUGUGGCAGAGGGUAGUGGAAUGCCCGGUGUAGCAGUGAAAUGCGUAGAGAUCGGGAGGAACAUCAGUGGCGAAGGCGACUGCCUGGGCCAACACUGACACUGAGGCACGAAAGCGUGGGGAGCAAACA